AACCUCAAUUUCUAAACUAUAUUUCAUCUUCAUCUGAAAUAGUGACGUCACUUCCUCCAUUCGGCUUGAGGAAUGGACCCGUAAAGGCCCACAGCGCCCUCAGAAAACACAUGAGAGGAGACUGACUGUGUUGCUGUAGCAACUGAUUCACUGGAAUAGUUUCCAUUGAAACAAACCGCUUUCGGUGAAACUGCGCCUUAAUACGGACCUCUCGGUUCCGACUGGGUCAGCCGAAACAAAGUCUGGACUGGAGAAGAAGAAGAGCAGCUCUCACCAGUUCUCCUGCAUCCACUGGAUCGCUCCUCGCUCAUCGAAGCGCGUCUCGAAGCUGAAGGCCGCCAGCCGCAGCUGGAGCUCCGACUCGUUCAUCUGCAGCAUCGUCACCAAAUCCUGGAGCUCCUGCGGUCUGCGCCUCACCUGGCCGCAUUAUAAAGCCUCGGGGCGGGGCCUGCAGGUGAGCCGCGGCGGGUCGCUCAUUCAACUGGUGACGUCACCGGUCCGUACGCGUCUGACAUCAGCAGGACGAGAUGAAAUUGAUUUUCAUCUCAUCGAUGAUUUGCUUCAUAGAGAACCUGAAAACAAUCAAAGCUGCUGCUGAACCGGAAAUGAAUCAUCUCAGAGUUUAAAGCUUUCAUAUAUGUAUAGCAUGGUGUCCAACACGUGGUCCGGGGCCUCAAAGGGUCGGCAGAUGAAACUGGAGGUCCUGAGAUCGGCUCAGGAAAACGUGAAGGAUCUGAAACAUUUCCAGGAUGCCUCACUGCGAUCCAGCCGGGUCCGACCAGAACCAGGCACACCGGUGCCGACCCAGGGGUCAGAGUUCAGGCAAAUCAGAUUCACAGCACUGGGGUUCUGUGGCUGGAAAGACGUGCUGCGGUGACCCGGUGACCCCCAGGUGACCUCCUGGUGACCUCAUGGUGACCCCAGCUCAGAGAUCAAGAGAGAAGAGGAAGAGGUGAAGCUUGAAGGAUUGUCUGCAGCGUCUCUUCGGUCCCAUUCGGAUCCUUUUCUCCCAGAACCAGAACCGGCGACAGGCGAGAUCAGAAAA